UACGGAGGAUGCGAGCGUUAUCCGGAUUUAUUGGGUUUAAAGGGAGCGUAGACGGGAUGUUAAGUCAGUUGUGAAAGGCUGCGGCUCAACCGCAGCACUGCAGUUGAUACUGGCGUCCUUGAGUGCGGUUGAGGUGUGUGUGGAAUUCGUGGUGUAGCGGUGAAAUGCUUAGAUAUCACGAAGAACUCCGAUUGCGAAGGCAGCACACUAAGCCGCUACUGACGUUGAGGCUCGAAAGUGUGGGUAUCAAACAGG
rnacentral:rRNA from 1 species